UCUGCUUUAAUAUAAUUUAUUAUAUCAGCUUUUCGUGCUGAAAAUGGUUUUAACCAAGCAGCA
rnacentral:tRNA from 1 species